rnacentral:rRNA from 1 species
AUAGGAGAUAGAAAUUUCUUCACGGAGCUAUAGAAAUAGUACCGCAAGGGAAAGAUGAAAGACUUAAUUUAUAGUAUAACAAAGCAUAGAUUAACCCUAUUACCUUUUGCAUCAUGAAUUAACUAGAAACAUAUUUACAAAGAGUCCCUGUGUAAAUAAGACCGAAACCAAACGAGCUACUUCUAAACAGCUAAUAAUGAGCAAACCCGUCUAUGUAGCAAAAUAGUGGGAAGAUUUAAAAGUAGAGGUGAAAAGCCUACCGAGUUUGGUGAUAGCUGGUUGUCCAAAUAAGAAUAUUAGUUCAACUUUAAGUCGUUUCCAAAGAAAAACAAAUCUUAAUAAAGACUUAAAAGCUAGUUUAUAGAGGGACAGCUCUAUAAAGAAGGAAAAACCUUGUAUAGAGGGUAAAAAUAAUAAUAUCACCACAGUUGGCCUAAAAGCAGCCACCAAUUAAGAAAGCGUUCAAGCUCGACAAAUCGCAAAAACAUAAUCCCAGUAUUAAAAAUUGACCCCCUAAACCUAAAUUGGACUAAUCUAUAAAAACAUAGAAGAAAUAAUGUUAAUAUUAGUAACAAGAAAUCAUUCUCCAGGCACAAGUUUAUAUCUAACUGAAUAAUCACUGAUAGUUAACAAUUAAAUAAAAAUAAAUAAAUCUAUUAACAACUUAUUACUAUUACUGUUAAUCCAACACAGGAGUGCCAUAAGGAAAGACUAAAAAAAGUAAAAGGAAUUCAGCAAACACAAAUCUCGCCUGUUUACCAAAAACAUCACCUCUAGCAUGACAAGUAUUAGAGGCACUGCCUGCCCAGUGACGCCAAAGUUCAACGGCCGCGGUAUUCUGACCGUGCGAAGGUAGCAUAAUCACUUGUUCCUUAAAUAGGGACUUGUAUGAAUGGUCAAACGAAGAUUUUUCUGUCUCUUACUUUUAGUCAGUGAAAUUGACCUCCCCGUGAAGAGGCGGGGAUAACAAAAUAAGACGAAAAGACCCUUUGGAGCUUCAACUACCUAAUUUAUAUAAUCUAAUAAUAUCAAUUAAUUAUAUCAAAUUACAUGUUUUGGUUGGGGUGACCUCGGAGAACAACACAGCCUCCGAAUGAUACUAACCUAGACUCAACAAGUCAAAGUAACAAAGUAGUUAUCAUAAAUUGACCCAAUACAAAUUGAUCAACGAAACAAGUUACCCUAGGGAUAACAGCGCAAUCCUAUUUUAGAGCCCCUAUCGACAAUAGGGUUUACGACCUCGAUGUUGGAUCAGGACAUCCUAAUGGUGUAGACGCUAUUAAGGGUUCGUUUGUUCAACGAUAAAAGUCCUACGUGAUCUGAGUUCAGACCGGAGUAAUCCAGGUCGGUUUCUAUCUAUUUAUACAUUCCUCCCAGUA